rnacentral:snoRNA from 1 species
UGAGCCAAUGCUGAGAGUCUUAUGAACCAAGAAUUAUGAUUAAUCCAAUUUCCUGUACCUGAAGUCCAAA